rnacentral:rRNA from 1 species
AGUGAACGCUGGCGGUAGGCCUAAUACAUGCAAGUCGAACGGCAGCACAGUAAGAUCUUGCUCUUGGGGUUGGCGGGGGACGGGGGGGUAAGACGUGAAUAGAAUACUUCUUUUUCUGGGGGAACAUCGGGGGAAAAGUGCUGCUACUACCUCAUAUUUCGAACGGCGAAAGUCAGGGGUCAUCGGCGCUUUUGCUGUCGCUUAUAGACGUAUCCGCGUUGCAUUAGCUAGGUGGUAAGGUAAAGGCAAACCAAGGCUACGAUGCGUAUCCGACCUGAGAGGGUGAUCAGCCACACUGGAACUGAGACACGGUCCAGACUCCUACGGGAGGCAGCAGUAGGGAAUCUUCGGCAAUGGGCGCAAGCCUGAUGCAGCAAUACCGCGUGAGUGAUGAAGGCCUUCGGGUUGUAAAACCCUUUUGUUAGGAAAGAACAGCAGCGUAUUAAUCCCCGGCUGUUCUGACGGUACCCAAACAGUAAGCCACGGCUAACUUCGUG